UACGGAGGGGGCUAGCGUUGUUCGGAGUUACUGGGCGUAAAGCGCACGUAGGCGGCUUUGCAAGUUAGAGGUGAAAGCCCGGGGCUCAACUCCGGAAUUGCCUUUAAAACUGCAUCGCUAGAAUUGUGGAGAGGUAAGUGGAAUUCCGAGUGUAGAGGUGAAAUUCGUAGAUAUUCGGAAGAACACCAGUGGCGAAGGCGACUUACUGGACACAUAUUGACGCUGAGGUGCGAAAGCGUGGGGAGCGAACAGG
rnacentral:rRNA from 1 species